UUUGGGGUUUGUGCACUUUAUCUG
rnacentral:piRNA from 1 species